GCCAUAUCGAAACACCACUUCUAAUUUGAUCACUGAAGUUCAGCAAUUUUGUGCCUGGUCAAUACCUAGAUGGGUGACUACUUGGGAAUACCAGUUGCUGUAAG